rnacentral:lncRNA from 1 species
AUGACAGCUUGGAAUGUGCCUGAGGAAGGGCUGUCCUGUGACGUGGAGAUGGAGGCAUUCGGGAGAGAGGCUCCUCGUCUCUCCACUCCAGGGCCCAGCUGGGACUCUGAGAACCCAGAGGGACGUUUGAGGCGAUCAGCCUUAACUCAGGAGGAGCCAGGGGCCGGGGAGGCAGCUCCUGAACAUCCUGGGUUUGGGAAGCAUUUGAGCGUGAGCGCAGAUCUUCCACAAUGUCAGAGAGUUCCUGCAACAAAUGGUUUCCGUGUACGUGGCUCAGAUGUUAAAAGUCUGGAUUGUGACCCAGCUUCACAUGCUGGUCAGAAAAGCUACGCAGCUAAGAGAGGGGGUGACAGGGACUCCUGUGGGAAAGCUUUCAGCCAUUCCAUGGAAGUGACUCAGUUUGGAAGAACUCAGACCCGAGAGAAGCCCUAUAGAUACACUGACAGUGUUAAGUCUCUCAACCACUUUACCCCUCUUGGCCAACAGAAAAUCAUGACCCGAGGGAAGAAACUGUGUGAAGGUGAGGACUUUGGGGACCUUUUCACCCUGAGUCCGUCUCCUAGUGAAAGCAGGAGUGGCAGUCCUGGAGAGAAGUUGUAUAAAUGUGCCGAAUGCGGCAAGUGCUUCAAGCGGAACUCUUCUCUUGUCCUGCAUCACCGAACUCACACUGGGGAGAAGCCUUACGCCUGUGAUGAGUGUGGAAAGUCCUUCAGCAAGAACUACAACCUGAUCGUGCACCAAAGGAUCCAUACAGGAGAGAAGCCCUACAAGUGCAGCAGGUGCGGGAAGGCCUUCAGUGACGGGUCAGCUCUGACGCAGCACCAGAGAACCCACACCGGGGAGAGGCCUUACGAGUGUCCGGAAUGUGGGAAGACCUUCAACCGAAACUCGUCCCUGAUCCUCCAUCAGAGGACUCACACGGGGGAGAAGCCAUACCGAUGCAACGAGUGUGGGAAGCCUUUCACGGACAUCUCCCACCUCACCGUGCACCUCAGGAUCCACACUGGCGAGAAGCCCUACGAGUGCAGCAGAUGUGGGAAAGCCUUCCGAGACGGCUCAUACCUCACCCAGCAUGAGAGGACUCACACGGGAGAGAAGCCCUUUGAGUGCACAGAGUGCGGGAAGGCCUUCAACCGCAACUCCCACCUCGCAGUGCAUCAGAAGAUCCACUCCGGGGAGAAGCCCUUCGAGUGCACAGAGUGCGGGAAGGCUUUCAUCGAGAGUGCGUACCUCAUCCGGCACCAGCGGACGCACACAGGCGAGAAGCCCUACGGCUGCGACCAGUGCCAGAAGCUGUUCAGGAACAUCGCUGGCCUCAUCCGGCACCAGCGGACACACACUGGCGAGAAGCCCUACGAGUGUAGUCAGUGCGGCCGGGCCUUCAGGGACAGCUCCUGUCUGACCAAGCACAGGAGGAUCCACACCCGGGAGACGCCAUACCAGUGCCCAGAGUGCGGCAAGCCCUUCCGGCAGAACUCUCACCUGGCGGCGCACCGGAGACUCCACAGCAGGGAGGGCCCCAGCCACUGUCCCCAGCGUGGGAAGACGUGCCGGAGGGGCUCCGCCCUCAUCCGACACCAGAGCUCACACCCCGGCAAGCAGCCCGUGGGCGCUGAGGGAACAUGGGCCGCGCUCUCUCCCGACUGA